rfam:Triticum aestivum genome assembly, contig: Triticum_aestivum_CS42_TGACv1_scaffold_559566_7AL
UAACUACUUCCUCCGUUCCGAAUUACUUGUUUUAGAUUUGUCUAGAUACAGAAGUAUGUAGCACUAAAAUAAGUCUAGAUACAUUCUUAUCUAGACAAAUUUAAGACAAAUAAUUCGGAACGAAGGGAGUACUAA